GUAGGUGGCAAGCGUUGUCCGGAAUUAUUGGGCGUAAAGCGCGCGCAGGCGGUUCUUUAAGUCUGAUGUGAAAGCCCACGGGCUCAACCGUGAGGGUCAUUGGAAACUGGAGAACUUGAGUACAGAAGAGGAAAGCGGAAUUCCACGUGUAGCGGUGAAAUGCGUAGAGAUGUGGAGGAACACCAGUGGCGAAGGCGGCUUUCUGGUCUGUAACUGACGCUGAGGCGCGAAAGCGUGGGGAGCAAACAGGAUUAGAUACCCUGGUAGUCCACGCCGUAAACGAUGAGUGCUAAGUGUUAGGGGGUUUCCGCCCCUUAGUGCUGCAGCUAACGCAUUAAGCACUCCGCCCGGGGAGUACGGCCGCAAAGGCUG
rnacentral:rRNA from 1 species